AGUGAACGCUGGCGGUAGGCCUAACACAUGCAAGUCGAACGGCAGCACAGUAAGAGCUUGCUCUUACGGGUGGCGAGUGGCGGACGGGUGAGGAAUACAUCGGAAUCUACUUUUUCGUGGGGGAUAACGUAGGGAAACUUACGCUAAUACCGCAUACGACCUACGGGUGAAAGCAGGGGAUCUUCGGACCUUGCGCGAUUGAAUGAGCCGAUGUCGGAUUAGCUAGUUGGCGGGGUAAAGGCCCACCAAGGCGACGAUCCGUAGCUGGUCUGAGAGGAUGAGCAGCCACACUGGAACUGAGACACGGUCCAGACUCCUACGGGAGGCAGCAGUGGGGAAUAUUGGACAAUGGGCGCAAGCCUGAUCCAGCUAUACCGCGUGGGUGAAGAAGGCCUUCGGGUUGUAAAGCCCUUUUGUUGGGAAAGAAAAGCAGCAGGUUAAUACCCCGCUGUUCUGACGGUACCCAAAGAAUAAGCACCGGCUAACUUCGUG
rnacentral:rRNA from 1 species